rnacentral:tRNA from 1 species
AAAAAGAUAAGCUAAAUUUAAGCUACUGGGUUCAUACCCCAUUUAUAAAGACACCACCUUUUCUUUUUA